rnacentral:rRNA from 1 species
UACAUGGGGUGCAAACGUUGCUCGGAAUUAUUGGGCGUAAAGCGUGCGUAGGCGGUUACUCAAGUCGGAUGUGAAAGCCCUCGGCUUAACUGAGGAAGUGCACCCGAAACUGAGUAGCUAGAGUACCAAAGAGGGUCGCGGAAUUCCCGGUGUAGAGGUGAAAUUCGUAGAUAUCGGGAGGAACACCGGUGGCGAAGGCGGCGACCUGGGUGGAUACUGACGCUGAGGCGCGAAAGCGUGGGGAGCAAACAGG